CCUACGGGAGGCAGCAGUAGGGAAUCUUCCACAAUGGGCGAAAGCCUGAUGGAGCGACGCCGCGUGGGUGAAGAAGGUCUUCGGAUCGUAAAACCCUGUUGUUAGAGAAGAAAGAGCGUGAGAGUAACUGUUCACGUUUCGACGGUAUCUAACCAGAAAGCCACGGCUAACUACGUGCCAGCAGCCGCGGUAAUACGUAGGUGGCAAGCGUUAUCCGGAUUUAUUGGGCGUAAAGGUAACGCAGGUGGUCUUUUAAGUCUGAUGUGAAAGCCUUCGGCUUAACAGGGGUAGUGCAUUGAAGACUGUGGGACUUGAGAGCAGAUGCGGAAGGUGGAA
rnacentral:rRNA from 1 species